GUGGGCGAGGAGCGCACACAAGGGAUUGGCUCAGCAGCGUCUCGCCACGCAAUAAGAACUACGUGCGGACAGCAGGAGAACGCCAGAGUGUUAUCAGCCGUGGUAUUACUGCAGGCCACUGUUAGCGCUCUCUCUCUCUCGAAAAUCUCCUCUGUGCUUAACCGCUUACUUUGUGUCUCCCAGGUUCCCUCCCGACUGCUCAGGUUAUCGUCCUGAAGGAUUCCUCCCGAGCAAACCUCCACACUGAGUCAACCUCUCGAGUUCUCCUCACCCUGAGUCUGUCUGGUUUCUUCUGCUGUCGUGGAUCUCCGGAUCUGCUCGGACCUGCUCGGACCUACCUCUGCCUACGCCCUCCGGUCUCUGGAGCACCUGCCACCAACACGCUGAGUCCUCCCCCGGUCCGGUUGCCACGUCUGGUGGUGUCUCCUGUGAACUGCUAACCUGACAAGCUGCUCUGGAGAAGCUCUGCUCUGUGCCAUGGUGUCUCCAGUGGUCUGCUAACCUGACUAGCCGCACUGACUCCAGUACCACCUCCUCCAGUCCAAUAACAGACUUUGGUUUUCCCCUUCCAGCACUCUUUACCUUCAAUAAACUGUCUAAAUGUGCUCUGUGUGUGUGUGUGCUCAACCCGGGUUUCAUUAGACAAAUCCUGACAACGCCUCCCAGCUCGUUCCCUCUGUCGUCCACCUUAAUCUGACCAUCUACCCUUCCUUUACAGUUGUUUAUGGAUUCCGAUCCGAGGUUUCCUCGUCAGCCCCGAGCGUCCAUUUUCUCCACCUCUGUUAAAUAAACCUUUGACUCUGAUUCUA